rnacentral:lncRNA from 1 species
CCGAUGAUUGUGGGGUGGUGCUCUGUGCGGCCCCAGCAAGUCCAAAGCAUGUUGCAACCCUUGUCCAGGAGCAGCCACUUCCUCAAAACUCAGCUGUGGGUAUAUAGUCUGGAGGCUUCAUCAUGUUUAAAAAUUAUUUAAGCUUUGGACAUGAGUGUUUUUUCUUAGUCUUCCCCAUCUUCACUGCCAAGGCUCAAGUGUGACAUGUGCAGCGUGGCUGUAGGAGCCGGGUAGAGCACUGUACAGUGGGACAGAUUGAUGUCAGACCAUUAGGGGGACUGGGCUGUAAAGGCCUUCUCAUAACUGUGCCCUGUCUCUCUGGCUCUUCCAGUAUCCACCCCUGCUAAUUCCUCCCUGGGGAGAAGUCGAUGCUAUGGAUGCUUUUGAUAUUGGCUCAUUUGAUGAAGAGGAUACUAAAGGCAUUAAGAUUAUACCCUGGGCAAGGACUACAUCAUGCACGGGCACAUGCUGAAGCUGGGCAACCCCUUCCUUACGCAGUGCAGCACCACUACUCCUACCUCUUCCCAAACAGGCUUGAGUGGAGAGGAGAAGGCGAGUCACGGCAAAACUUACUGACCAUGGAACAGAUUCUCUCUGUGGAAGAAACUCAGAUUAAAGACAAAAAGUGCAUCUUGUUUAGAAUAAAAGAAGGUAAGCAAUUUGUCUUGCAAUGUGAGGUAAGUUUUUCUUUUUCUUUAUUUUCUCUUAGGUGAAAGUUAAAACAUUUGCAUAAGUAUUCAGUGAGGCUGACAACCUGGUGAUAAAGCAUUUUCUUACUGUAUGGUUAGCAAGAAAUCCCUGAGGUAUAAGAUUUUCAGCAAAUUAACAAUUACUUUUUAAAGAAGCAAGUAUUAGAAAAUGGGAUACCCAUUCAUGAUAAA